UCCCUGAUGGCUCAGAUGGUAAAGAAUCUGCCUGCAAUGCGGGAGACCCGGGUUCGAUCCCUGGUUUGGGAA
rnacentral:tRNA from 1 species